rnacentral:rRNA from 1 species
CGCAGCGAAAUGCGAUACCUAGUGUGAAUUGCAGAAUUCCGUGAAUCAUCGAGUUUUUGAACGCAAGUUGCGCCCGAGGCUCGUCUGAGGGCAUGCCUGCCUGAGCGUCCGC